CGCUAACACGAAGUAAGGCUGGGGCUGAUGGGAAUGUCAUUAGUUCUGCAGUUUCCCCAUCAUCCUCCUCCUCCUGUUGUCAUCGUCUCCGCUGGUGUGCAGGAACGCACGGUCUGUCACAUUACUGUAGGUGGAGACGUACAGCUGAGGGACGGGGGAAUGUUUGAGGCCGGAUGCCAGCUGUGCUAAGGAGACGCAGCUCAGCGUUGGAGGAGCGUCAACCGGAGGAGAGGAGAACGUCUCAUUAAUCACGAGGACAGGGACGAGAUGAGGAUCGCAGCCGUUCUCCUCUCAAAGCGUUCACUCCAACUAUUGAUUGACAUCGUGGGGUGUAUGUUUAGAUGUAUAGUUGAAAGAGGGAAAUGGAAAAACCAGCAAAAAGUGCGAGGCUUGGAAAGUGCCAGGUGCAUUAGCAUGAAGGACUUAGCUUCACAUGUUCUUUAAAAAGGGAGCAUAAACCCACCAAGCUGUGGCAUGUUUAGCUAAUCUAGAGACAAGAUGAUGGAAAAAGAUCCCUGAAUUAAGAAGAAUUACAUUUAAAGUAAAAUCCGUAUAUUAUAUACUGUACCUGCAGAACUGAUCACAUUCCCAUCAGCCUUACUUUAUAUUCACUGCUAAUUAGCUAACACUAGCAUGCUAACCGAUUAACUCAGUAAAUGUAUAUACCUGUAAAGUUCUUAUGAUGCGAAACUCUUUUUGGAGCAUUGAUUGAUCUGAUGUCAAAUAAAUGAGCUAAAUGCCAACAUCCACAUGCUAACAAUGACAGUGCUGACAGGUGCAAUGAUUACCAUGGUGAGCAUCUGCGUUAGCAUGCUAAUGCUAGCUAAUUAGCACGCUAACACGAAGUAAGGCUGGGGCUGAUGGGAAUGUCAUUAGUUCUGCAGGUAAAGUAUUCUGCAAUAAACUAAAGUACUGGACACAUAUCAGUCACUUCUGGCAGGAACAGUCAAUAAGAAAUGAAAAUGACUCAUAUUUCAGUGAAGGAUUCCCUCAACACCCUCCUGCUUUAAACGAAUCUGAGCCACUAUUUAAAAAUACCUCGUACCUCGUGCAGGUUUAUUGGGUUCACUUGAUGUUUGAACUUGUUUUGAUUUCCUAGCAGCGGAGAGUAAAACUCACAUGUUGUUUUAAUACCAGGUUCUUCACUCCCUCCAUGACAAACUGGGAUCCAGUAUUCAUCACUCUGGAGAACAGGCUGUAGGGAGGGGAGGAAACAAGGGGGAGGAAGAGGAGGAGGAGGACAG